rnacentral:misc_RNA from 1 species
UUUUUUUUUUUUUCGUUGCCAAACAGUCUGGUAUUCUUGAACAAUGUCUGAUGAUAUGUUGAUACAUUUCUCCUCCAACUCUUCCAAUCAGUCAGACCAGUCGUUGCCCACCAAGAUUGCCAAGAAGCUCGCAUGGUGGGUAAGACCUCUUCUGUCUCCUCCCCCCCUGCCCAACCACAGCAACUGCAGCAGCAACCCACCUGGACCUCUGUCUCUUCUGCAGUGAAAUUUGGGCCCGCC